rnacentral:tRNA from 1 species
GCCUUCUUGGUGUAAUGAUCAGCACACUUGGUGUGUAUUCAAGAGGUCCGAGGUUCGAGUCCCCGAUGAAGGCA